rnacentral:rRNA from 1 species
CACCGGCGGACGGCUCAGUAACACGUGGACAACCUACCCUCGGGUGGGGGAUAACCUCGGGAAACUGAGGCUAAUACCCCAUAGGUCUCAGGUACUGGAAGGUCCUGAGACUGAAAGCUCCGGCGCCCGAGGAUGGGUCUGCGGCCUAUCAGGUAGUUGGUGGUGUAAAGGACCACCAAGCCUACGACGGGUACGGGCCCUGAGAGGGGUAGCCCGGAGAUGGACUCUGAGACACGAGUCCAGGCCCUACGGGGCGCAGCAGGCGCGAAACCUUCGCAAUGCGCGAAAGCGCGACGAGGGGAGCCCGAGUGCCCUUCCUUUUGGGAGGGCUUUUCCGGAGUCUAAAAAGCUCCGGGAAUAAGGGCUGGGCAAGACGGGUGCC